AUUGAACGCUGGCGGCAUGCCUUACACAUGCAAGUCGAACGGUAACAGGUCUUCGGAUGCUGACGAGUGGCGAACGGGUGAGUAAUACAUCGGAACGUGCCCAGACGUGGGGGAUAACGAGGCGAAAGCUUUGCUAAUACCGCAUACGAUCUAAGGAUGAAAGCAGGGGACCGCAAGGCCUGGCGCGUUUGGAGCGGCCGAUGGCAGAUUAGGUAGUUGGUGGGAUAAAAGCUUACCAAGCCGACGAUCUGUAGCUGGUCUGAGAGGACGACCAGCCACACUGGGACUGAGACACGGCCCAGACUCCUACGGGAGGCAGCAGUGGGGAAUUUUGGACAAUGGGCGAAAGCCUGAUCCAGCAAUGCCGCGUGCAGGAUGAAGGCCUUCGGGUUGUAAACUGCUUUUGUACGGAACGAAAAGGCUCUGGCUAAUACCUGGGGCACAUGACGGUACCGUAAGAAUAAGCACCGGCUAACUACGUG
rnacentral:rRNA from 1 species